GCCAAGCAGACUGGGGCCUCGCGGCUCUUCAGCGUCGCGGAGCAGUCCUGCGUGUCUGGCUCCUCCUGGAUGGGUCCCUUCGGGUGAAGACGAAAGGGGUGUGGAGAAACGGUGAGGCCUCUUCGCUUCCGGCCUCCUCCCGCUCACUACCAAGUGUCCCCAAGAGGCAAAAGGUCCCAAAUGCCUCCCUCGAUUUUCUUGACCAAAUGGGACUUUCAUCCAUGGAGGUCAGGUAUUCGUUCGUCUUUACCAUUCCAUAACAUUCGUGAGCCGACGCUGCCGACCCUGCCCUGGGGACAUCGCGGUGGAGGAGACUGGUCCAGUCCCAUGUGGAGCUCACAGUUCAGUGGGGGAGUUAGAGCCUCACCACCACCAGGUAGGGAUGGUAGAGUAUAAGCUGCAGGACUGGGUCAGUUGGGGACACAGGGAGUGUGCGAGGUCUGUCGCUCGCCCCUGAAAGCACAGGAUACUGGGGCUGGGGUUCUGGAGAGCCCACUCAGCCUCAGACAGGCCCCCGAGGAAUGGCAACAUUCAGGGACCUUUUACCGAGCAUGCAUGCCCAGCUCACUACUCUGUCCUCGGUGUCCAGUAUAAAGCCUAAGUCUCUAAGUAGUUAUUCAAUAAACAAAUGAGGGGAGAGGUGGUGGGGUGAGAAUAAAGCUGGGGACUGAGGGACGAGGGUGGGGCAGGAUGAGGUGUGGGGGUCGAGGGCAAUGGUGGGUGAAGUAGGGAUGCGGAGAAGAGAGGAGGACACUGAGUGGGUCAUGAGACUGAUUGGCUGUAGAGGGCGGGGUAUCCAGGGUGAGGUCCCAGCUCUGGGCUGGGGAUUAGAUGGAGCAGACCUUGAAAUGCUGAUGUGAGAGAAGGGACAGCUUUGGGGGAGAUGCUGAUAACAAUGUGGGUGUGAGGAGUUAAGGGGACAUCCAAGGACUGGCUGAGUCACUGGCCCAAGGACAAGGGGACAUGGCACCACCACUGAGAUAGCACAUUUCGGGGAGAAGCUGAGACCAGCUUCUAAGUGCUUCAUAAGGGCUGAGAAGCAGAAGGGGGUGCCAGGGGCUGAUGUAAUCCAGGUGGGUUUCCUGGAAGAAAGAUUAGCAGCUACUACUCCACAAUGCUUAAUUCUCAAAAGGUGCCGUUUCUCUCAAACAUUGCCACCCUUCUGCCUUUUGUAGGGUGUUUUGCUAUUAAAAAACAAAAUCAAUUAGCAUGUCUGCCAUUUGUCAAUGAGCCUUUCCAGGGGCUUUAAAAAGUACUGUCCAAAUGUCCAUCGACAGAUGCAUGGAUAAAGAAAAUGUGGUAUAUAUAUAUACAAUCGAGUAUUACUCAGCAAUCAAAAAGAAUGAAAUCUUGCCAUUUGCAACAACGUGGAUGGAACCAGAGGGUAUUAUGCUAAGCAAAAUUAGUCAGAGAAAAACAAAUAUCAUAUGACUUCACUCAUGUGGAAUUUUAAGAUACAAAACAGAUGACCAUAAGGAAGGGAAGCAAAAAUAAUAUAAAAUAAGGAGGGGGACCAUAUAUGAGACUCUUAAAUACAGAAAACAAACUGAGGGUGGGGGGAUGGGCUAAAUGGGCAAGGGGCAUUAGGGAGGACUCUUGUUGGGAUGAGCACUGGGUGUCAUACCUAGGGGAUGAAUCACUGGAAUCUACUCCUGAAAUCAUUAUUGCACUCUAUGCUAACUAACUGGGAUGUAAAUUAAAAAAUAAAUAAAUGAAAUUUAAAAAAUUAAAAAAAGAAAGUACUGGUUGUUAGGAGAAUGAAAAGAUAAAUCACAGACUGGCAGGAAAUAUUUGCAAAACACAUACCUGAAGAUGGACUUGUAUCCAAAAUAUACAAAGAACUCUUAAAACUCAACCAUAAGAAAACAAAUAAUCUACUUAAAAAUAGACAAAAGUUAUGAACAGAUAUCUCACCGAAGGAGAUGUACAGGUGGCAAAUAAGCACAAAAAGUUGCUAAUACCAUGUCAUUAAGGAAUUGCAAAUUAAAACAAUGAGAUAACUCUACACACCUAUUAGAAUGUCUAAAAUCCAUUUAAAAAAGUGGUACCAAAUGCUUUCGAGGAUGUGGAACAACAGGAAUCUCAUUCAUUGCUGGUGGAAUGCAAAAUGAUACAGCCACUUUGGAAGACGAUCGAAAAGAUCGUUUGUAUGACUACAAAUAUAUAGCAUUCUAGAAAAGGCAAAACUAGAUCAAUGGUUGCUAGGAGAUCAUGAGGUGGGGGAUAGGGAUGGAAAGGUGAGGCUCGGCAUUUUUUUUUUUUUAAGUUUAUUUAUUUAUUGUGUGUGAGAGAGAAAGAGCACACAAGCGGGGUAGGGCAGAGAGAGAGAGGGAGAGCCAAGAAUCCCAAGCAGGCCCCAUGCCAUCAGUGCACACCACUGUGAGGUCAUGACCUGAGCCAAAAUCAAGAGUUGGAUGCCUACCCAACUGAGCCACCCAGGCGCCCCGAGGCUUGGCAUUUUUAGGAGCGUGAAACUAUUUUGUGUGAUACUGAAAUGGUGGGUACAUCACAUUAUGCAUUUAUAAAAAGCCACAGAACCGUACAAUAUAGAGUGAGUCUUAAUGUGAAGCAUAGAUUCUAGUUAAUAAUGUUUACUCUUGGUCAUCAGUUGUAACAAAGGUACCAUACUCCUGCAAGAUGGUAAUAAUAAGGGAAAAUAUGUGUGGAGGGACAGGAAGUAUAUGGGAACUUUCCUUUCUUUUUGUGUAACUUUCUGUAAGCAUAAAACUGCUCGUGAAAAAUAAAAUCUAUUAAAAAAGAGAAUUGGCUGAAAGUUGGAAUAUUAUCUAAUGAAACAUCUAUAACCAUGACCUAAUGAUAACUAAUCAGAUACACCUUGACUGAAGCUAUGGCAUAAAAGGAUUCUGUAUGUUUUGGAAGAAAGGCUAAAACCAAAUAAGAGAUAACUACUACAGUUUCCCCUCCAACUCUAAAGAAAUGCCACCCGGAAAUUAUUAGAAACAUCCACUCAAGCUGCUUAUGUGACCAUCUCCCCGGCAGUCACUGAUGAACUUCUCACCACUCUCCUCCAGUCUCUAUGCUGUGGCUUUGUAAUGUGUCAGCUUGACCAGGCUGAACGAACUGUAUCUUGGAAUUACCUUCUCUGUAUGAUUUCAAUUAGGAUGGACCCAUAGAGAGCCUUGGGCAAGAUUUGGUGGGCAGAAGUGAAGCAGCUGCCGUUUUGUAGAUCACACAGGUUGUCACUGGCUGGCUCUGCUGGGUCAUCACGUUUGCACAGGGCAGCAGCCGGGCCAGCAAUUGUUUCACCUUUUCCUGGAUCUUCCUCCCAGCUUCUCAGCUCCUGGGCCAGGUGUGGGUUUAUCUCCGUAAUGAAGGAUGGCAGCUGUUCCUGUGGACGUUCACACCACCAAGGGCAGAGGCCCCCUUGUCGAGUUUCUCCCCACUUUAUGUCUGUCUUCCUUUCCUAACUGCCUGCCCUGUGCACUUCAAGUGCCAGCAUCAGACCCUAAGACCACAAUGUUAGGGACUGCUUCAUAACUCCAAUUGCAUAAGGUUAAAUCCCAGUUCAUCUGCCUAUCUAUCCGUCCAUCUAUCCAUCCCCCCAGUGGGUCAGCUUCUCUGAUGGAACCCUGAUACACUCUGUAAGCAGAGACUCUGGAUGCCUGUGGAAUUGCUGUUACCUCAAGCUGUCGUUCACAGAGGAAGUUGCAGUGGCUUUCCUCUUCCUCUCUUACAUAAGAAGAGGAUGUUUCUGUCUCCACCCUCCAAAAGGCUGAUACAAAAAGGUGAGAGACCCAGAAGGUGAGUCUUGGAAGAUGAAGAGCUGGAAAGAUUUGGCAGAAGUCACUAAGGACUACUACAUGCCCAAACGCAACAACUCUACACCAUCAAGUGUGUCCACAUCCAUUGAGUAAAAGUACAAAAUACACAUAGAAUUUGUUUACGGCAACAUGAGUUUGGUGGUUUCUUUCAGGGAUGGAGGGAGGGAAGAAGAGAACAGAGGAGAAGGGGGAGGCAUUUAAUUUGUACAUACAACAUUUAAUUUUCAAAAAGGAGAUCCGGUGCAAGUAUAGGAAAAUGUUUACAUCUGCCAAAUGUGGAUGUCACAUGGGGGCUAGACUUGUUCUUCACAGUUUGUUGAUUUGAAACACUUAUUUAAAUAAAUUAUGAAAUUAAAAGUUAAAAAAAAAAGUGGGAGGAACAUUCUGGGUGUUCUGUAGAUGGUGGAUCAGAGGAGGAGACAGGCCAGGGCCGGUAACUGGGGCAGGCGAUGACAGAGUUGAGGCUUAGCAGAGGGCUGGUGGGAGAGAUGAUUGGGCUGAGUGGAGGACACUUAUCCUUAGGUUAAGACCUUUCCAGAGAGGAAGAUAGUGUUCUCACUGGGGCAUUACCUGUCAAGGCUCCCUCCUUCCCAUCUCUGGGAUUUUAUUCCUGCUGUGCUCCCUACCUCCAUCACCCUUCAUUAUCUUCAAUGGCUACCUCCUCCUCAGUCUUUUAAGUCUUAUCUCAGAUGUGCCCUUCCAUGCAAGCCUUCUCUGACUCCCCCUACCCCCGACCCCAGAUUGGUUGGGUUACCUCCUCUGGACUCUCACAGCUAAGCCUCUUUCUGGUUACGAAUGUCCCCAAACCCAACUCAUUGUAGUGUUUUUCCUCCCAAAUAAGAAAUAUCUUGGUUCAUGUGAUUUAAAAGAGGUACUUCCUUGUCCUGGUUCAGGUGAGGUGUAAUCCAGCCGCUCAAACAUUGAAAGGCAAUUAUAAGCAAAAGUUCUGCAGUCUGACUCAUUGGGUUUGAAUCCUCAUUCCACCACUCACAGGCUAAAUGAUCUAGGGCAAGUCUCUCAAUCUCUGCAGCCUCAGUUUCCUCAUUUAUGAAUUUGGGACAGUAAUAAUACCUGUUUUUAGUGUUGUGGGGUUUAUAUGAGACAACAUGCAUAAGCUCCUUGAACAGUGCCUGCAAACAGUUGACGGCUCAGCAACUAUC